rnacentral:lncRNA from 10 species
AGCAAUGAUGAAGUCUCACAUUUAAAAUUUUCAAGUCACUCAUCACAUCCCAAGUCACUCCCUUCAUUACCUUUUAUUUAUACUGGAGUCAUCCUGUGUGCCUCAGUCAGACCAUUUUGUAUGUACAAUGACCAUCUGAGGCACUGCCUAUAAAGUGGAAGAUAUAAUUAUAAUACUACAGACGUCAUUCCAGCUUUCCAGUUGCUUAUGGUCCAGCAGGGAGGAUGCACAUGGGAAAAAUAAUAACUAAUGACAAAUGUGAUGAGUCUUAACAAAGAAGAAGAGCAUAUUGCAAGGGAAUGUAAUUCACUCCAGGGACAAUGAGAUUUAACAUGCAGUUUGCAGAUCCUCCCUUCUCUGGGUCACCUGAAAAUAAGCCACAAACAAAGGAAUGAAAUUGUUGAUGAAAAGGGAAGAGGCAAGACUCCAUAUGAAGAAUACAACUGACUCACCUGUCUGUA